rnacentral:tRNA from 1 species
GGGCGCUCAAGGAACGGCGGAUGCAAGUUCGCCUCCUUGCCAAGGUUGGGGUCGAGGGUUCGAAUCCCUUCGCCCG